GUCCUUUUGAGUUUAAUUUAAGGUCUAACCUGCCCACUGAAUUUUUAAAUGGCCGCAGUAAUUUGACUGUGCAAAGGUAGCAUAAUAAUUAGUUUUUUAAUUUAAAGCUUGUAUGAAGGGUUGGACGAAAUAAAAUCUGUCUCUAUUUAAUUAAAUUUAGAAUUUAACUUUUAAGUUAAAAGGCUUAAAUAUUAUUAAAAGACGAGAAGACCCUAUAGAUCUUUAUAUUUUUUUUAAUAAUUUUAAUUAGGAAUUAUUAAUUUUUUAUUAAAAAAAUUAUUUUAUUGGGGUAAUAUAAAGAUUAGAAUAAUUCUUUUUUAUUUAGACAUAAAUUUAUGGUUUUUAUGAUCCAAUUUUAUUGAUUAUAAGAUUAAGUUACCUUAGGGAUAACAGCGUAAUUUUUUUUGAGAGUUCUUAUCGAUAAGAAAGUUUGCGACCUCGAUGUUGGAUUAAAGAUUAUUUUAGGUGUAGAAGCUUGAAAAUUUUGGUCUGUUCGACCAUUAAAUCUUUACAUGAUCUGAGUUCAGACCGGCGUAAGCCAGGUCGGUUUCUAUCUUUAAUAAAUUAAAAUAUUUUAGUACGAAAGGACCAAUUAUUUAAUAUAUUUAUAUUUAAUUUUUGAAUAUUAUUAA
rnacentral:rRNA from 2 species